CCCGGCGUAGCUCAAUCUGGCUAGAGCGAUCGGCUGUAGCCCGAUAGGUUGCAAGUUCAAAUCUCGCCGCCGGGA
rnacentral:tRNA from 1 species